rnacentral:misc_RNA from 1 species
GGAAGAGUGAAUUAGAUAGUUAGGGUAAAGGUCGUGGGGUUGAAGUGUAUAGAGUUUUGGGUGAGAAGGGGAAUAUUUGAGUGGAAAUAGGGUUAUGGUGAUUAUAGAGGAAGAUAGGUAUAUUAUAUAAGGUUUCAGGUUUUUUUGUUGAGUGAUUUGGGUAGUUUUUGGGGAUUUAGAUUAGAAGAGAAUAAUUAUAGAUUUAGAAUGUUAUG